CAGCAGCCGCGGUAAUACGUAUGUCACAAGCGUUAUCCGGAUUUAUUGGGCGUAAAGCGCGUCUAGGUGGUUAUGUAAGUCUGAUGUGAAAAUGCAGGGCUCAACUCUGUAUUGCGUUGGAAGCUGUGUAACUAGAGUACUGGAGAGGUAAGCGGAACUACAAGUGUGGAGGUGAAAUUCGUAGAUAUUUGUAGGAAUGCCGAUGGGGAAGCCAGCUUACUGGACAGAUACUGACGCUAAAGCGCGAAAGCGUGGGUAGCAAACAGGAUUAGAUACCCGGGUAGUCCCUGUCUCUUAUACA
rnacentral:rRNA from 1 species